GACGAACGCUGGCGGCGUGCUUAACACAUGCCAGUCGAACGGAAAGGCCCUGCUUUUGUGGGGUGCUCGAGUGGCGAACGGGUGAGUAACACGUGAGUAACCUGCCCUUGACUUUGGGAUAACUUCAGGAAACUGGGGCUAAUACCGGAUAGGAGCUCCUGCUGCAUGGUGGGGGUUGGAAAGUUUCGGCGGUUGGGGAUGGACUCGCGGCUUAUCAGCUUGUUGGUGGGGUAGUGGCUUACCAAGGCUUUGACGGGUAGCCGGCCUGAGAGGGUGACCGGCCACAUGGGGACUGAGAGACGGCCCAGACUCCUACGGGAGGCAGCAGUGGGGAAUAUUGCACAAUGGGCGGAAGCCUGAUGCAGCAACGCCGCGUGCGGGAUGACGGCCUUCGGGUUGUAAACCGCUUUCGCCUGUGACGAAGCGUGAGUGACGGUAAUGGGUAAAGAAGCACCGGCUAACUACGUA
rnacentral:rRNA from 1 species